AUUAGUAAUAAUCCCAUGCAGCCUUUACACCUCCAUUAGGCUGAUUAUAGAUCCUUAUUGUGGCUUGACAGCUCUUAAUGUAGUUACACCUCAGACACCGCCAAAACACCAGCUAUGCAGGUGUCAGCUGUCGCCUGUUCACGCUUGAUCUGAUUGAAUCCUAGCCUCAGAGCUCCUUUGAAUCAGAUCCGCUUUAGCCAACAUCCGCAUAGCGGUUGUUUUUGCUGUGUCGGAGGUGGCGCCGUAUUGGAGCUGUCAAAUAAAGAAUUGGAUCCCAGCAUUUCUCCUAAAGCGUACAUCGCCAUUUGCUGCAGAGUCGCAUGAACAGAAAUCCCAUAUGCAUCUGUGUUUACAAGUUCGAACACUGGAAUGUGAGAUGUAAUCUACACCUCAAAUAGGAUGAUAAAUCAUUAAAUGAAUGAGGAUUUUUUUUCAAUUUGAGGGUAAGCAUUUCUAUAUAACCUAGACAUUCUCGUUCAGAACUUCUAACAUGAGUGGGGCGGGUGUGGCUUCAUGACAAUGAUCACAAGAGCAACUGCUGACCGAUUUAUGGCUCCAAUGCAGUUCCACCUCCAACACCGCCAAAACAUCCACUAUGUGGAUGUCUGCUAUUGCCAGUUAACACUUGAUCUGAUUGAACGUACUGUAGGUCGUAGUUAGUUUAAAGUCCUCAUUUUUAUUUAGAAGACUUGCCUCGUGAGCUUUGCAGCCCAAAGGACACUUACCUGAUGGGCUAGUAAGGGAAGGGACCUAACUUCUCCUUCCACAAGAGGAGAGUUCUUUACACCUCCUGCGGACUGGGCGAGAAGUAGAUCGUCUGUGUCUGGGCAUGAUUAUUGCUAUACCCACUGAGUAGCUGGACCCGUGCUUUUAUAGGCUUUGCCUUGGGAGUGAAAUUACUUCAUAAUGGCAUUGACAUGAUGCAAUAGCAACAGUGCCAUUCCAAACACAAAAAUCUAGAAAUAAAACAAAAAUUCGGAAAAUUGGCCAAAAAUGUUAGGAGUAGCUUAGAAAGCUUAGUGUAUUAUAAUGUCGUUAGGGCAGCUUGGUCCAAAAUAAUCACGUUUACUUUAAACAUCUGGACAAAAAACACAUAGCAGUACAUACUCAAAGAUCUCCAGCUUGGAAGGUGCUUCAUUAUUUCCCUCUACCAGCAAAGUUCUCGUAAAGUUCCUGCAAGGUUGCUUUAAUAUAAAAGCGACACCCCACAGCAUUUCACUGGAACUCCGCGGGCGGUAGCUCCACCCAAAGAUAUGCAGGAUCCUUACUCAGUGCCUUGUAUAUUAUGUACACCUGUUCUUUUUCAAUGGAUUUGGUUUCAAACGUCUAUAAAAUGAACCACAAAGAAAUAUAUGAGAUAACCAUGUUAUUUUUCUCCCAAAGUCAAUUUCAAAGCUUACAGUGAAAGUAUAACAACGGUCGGUGUAUCUUUUUUUUCAUUUGUAUUAGCUGUGUUAUCUAUUAAAGGAUGAUUCUAGCAAUAAAUGAAUACUUAUUUA
rnacentral:lncRNA from 1 species